ACUAGCCCUAAGUGGAGGUCCAUU
rnacentral:siRNA from 1 species